rnacentral:rRNA from 1 species
UAAUGGACAAUGGGGGGAACCCUGAUCCAGCGCCGCCGCGUGAGUGAAGAAGUAUUUCGGUAUGUAAAGCUCUAUGAGCAGGGAAGAAAGAAAUGACGGUACCUGACUAAGAAGCCCCGGCUAACUACGCGCCAGCAGCCGCGGUAGUACGUAGGGGGCGAGCGUUAUCCGGAUUUACUGGGUGUAAAGGGAGCGUAGACGGCGAUGCAAGUCUGAAGUGAAAGGCGGGGGCCCAACCCCCGGACUGCUUUGGAAACUGUAUAGCUGGAGUGCAGGAGAGGUAAGUGGAGUUCCUAGUGUAGCGGUGAAAUGCGUAGAUAUUAGGAGGAACACCAGUGGCGAAGGCGGCUUACUGGACUGUAACUGACGUUGAGGCUCGAAAGCGUGGGGAGCAA